GAAGCGGGAAGAGCUCAAAUUUAUAAUCUGGCACCUUCGGUGUCCGAGUUGUAAUCUCUAGAAGUGUUUUCCGCGUUGGACCGCACACAAGUCUGUUGGAAUACAGCGGCACAGUGGUGAUACCCCCGUACACGGUGCGGACGCCCAGCGCUUUGUGAUACACUUUCAAUGAGUCGAGUUGUUUGGGAAUGCAGCUCAAAUUGGGUGGUAAAUUCCAUCUAAAGCUAAAUAUUGGCGAGAGACCGAUAGCGAACAAGUACCGUGAGGGAAAGAUGAAAAGCACUUUGGAAAGAGAGUUAACAGUACGUGAAAUUGUUGGAAGGGAAACGCUUGAAGUCAGACUUGCUUGCCGGAGCUUGCUUCGGUUUGCAGGCCAGCAUCAGUUUUCCGGGGUGGAUAAUGGUGGUUUGAAGGUAGCAGCCUCGGCUGUGUUAUAGCUUUCCACUGGAUACAUCCUGGGGGACUGAGGAACGCAGCGUGCUUUUUGCGAAGGUUUCGACCUUUUCACGCUUAGGAUGCUGGUGUAAUGACUUUAAACGACCCGUCUU
rnacentral:rRNA from 1 species